rnacentral:tRNA from 1 species
CGGGGAAUAGCGAAGCCAGGUCUAUCGCGCCUGUUUUGGGAACAGGAGACCGCCGGUUCGAAUCCGGCUUCCCCGA